UUUUUUUUUUUUUUUUUUUUUACUUUUUUAGGGCUGCACCUGUGACAUAUGGAGGCUCCCAGGCUAGGAGUUAAAUCACAGCUAUAGCUGCCGACCUACACCACAGCCAUAGCAGUGCCAGAUCCAAGCUGUGUCUGUGACCUACACCACAGCUCAUGGCAAUGCUGGAUCCUUAACCCACUGAGUGAAGCCAGGGAUCGAACCUGCAACCUCACGGUCAAUAGCAAGAUUCAUUUCUUCUGCGCCACAACUGGAACCCCUCAAAAUUUGCCCCAAUCUUGCCUAAUAAUUUCUUCUCAACAUUCUAGCCCUUGCAAUAGGUCUAACCAUACUUGAGUACCGUUUUCUGGACCAUACCCUAGCAUUUGGCUGCUCUGUGCCUUUGUUUGUGCUGUAUCUGUUUCCUAGCAUUCCUGCCCCCUACUCCCCAGAGUCCCAUCUCUUUUCAUAAAAAUGGCCAACUCAUCCUGUAGGUCUCUGUUACACUGAUUUUUCCCCCAUUACUCCUGUCCCAAGUAAGACACACACAUGCCCAUGAGUGUUCACGUAUUCUAGAUACAACUACGGAAGCAUUUUCCAUUUUGUGGCACAGUGUGGCUGGCGGAUAAAGCACAGAUUUUAGAGUGGGAAAUAUCUGGUCACAAAUCCCAGCUCUACCCCAUCAAAGUCAUGAGUCCUGGUAUGAUUUCCCUAAACAUGAGCUUCCAUUUCCUCUUUAGAAACAAGGAUGCUAUGUCCUAUUAGAGCUGUUGUGGGAAUAAAGGUGGCAGGGGGCUGAUGGGUGGGGGGGGAUUAACAAAUUUCCAGCACAGAACUGAUUCAUGAUCAGCAGCUGCCUCGUUCUGGUUAUUCAGGCUCUCAGCUGAAAUAUUCUCUCUUGAAAAUGGCCCUGACCUAAUCUCCCCUCUCCCAACCCUACGCUCCUCUUUAAGCUUUGGGCCCCACGUUGCCCAAAUUAAAAUUCCAACCCUACCACUUCUAAGUGUGGAUAUUUUACUGAAAUUUAUUCCCUCACUUUUCUCAUAUGUAAAGUGGGGCUAUUAAUACUAAUAGCAAUACUAACACUAAUAGGCAUGCUAUAGGGGCCAUGCAGACCUCAGAUUAGUGCCAGACACAGAAUAAACUAUAGCUGUUACUGUGUUGUUCAUUCCUCUAUCUCUGGGAUACACAUUAGCGCCCGACCCAGGGAGGUACUCAUUUCGUAUUUAUCAAAUGAAUAAAUGCAUACCAUCUGGCUAUUCCUCCUUCCCUUGCAUUCCACCUGAAUUGGUGCUUAAGGUAGAACAUGGGCACCUCUGGGGUGGGAAGGUGAUGCAUUGCUAUUAGGUGCUCAGCAUCCAGCACAGGGUCCAGCACUAGGGUAGGCUUAGUCUGGGGUGGGAAGGUGAUGCAUUGCUAUUGGGUGCUCAGCAUCCAGCACAGGGUCCAGUACCAGGUUAGGCUUAGUCAACUUCAUGGAAUGGAAGGGACAUUUUCUGAAGUGUAUUCCCAUUGUGUUCUGCUGAAUGUGAGUUCAUUACCAUCAGCUGGCAGAGCAGUCAGGACCCCGCCCACCACUCAGCCUCCUCUGGCCACCACUUACUCAAGCACACUUAACAGAGGGUGACCCAGGCACCGAAAGCCACUUCCUCUCUGGAAUGACAAAGACCCAGCUCAUUGUCUCUCUUGACUGGGCACAAGAUUUACCUUAUUCUGCUGGAAGGCUCAUUUAGACGAUGCCCUGUUUGGCCAGCAGUGAGAGGACUCUUUUUUGUGUGUGUGGGUCUAAUCCCUUGAAUCAAUAUUUGUUCCCACCUCCCUCUGUGUAAGGAUAGAGACACUGAAACUGAAAGAGCAUCUCCAAAGUAAGAGGACAAGCAUGGGCCACAAGGAGGGGGCCUGGGAAAGAGAAGGAGGGGUCCCUCCUUAUGGCAGUUCAGUGGGUCAGGGGCUCUGCUUUCCAGUAAAACCAGCCACUUCCCUGGUGAAUUUGUUUAACCUCUUUCCAAGUUUCCCCAAAGAGAUGGCAUAGGAGGGGUGGAGGGGCAGCCCAUUAAAAUUCAGUCUGACCGGCACAGAGAAGUAGGCCAUGGCUGACUAACAGAGGGGCAUUGACUGAAAGAGGCUCUGGCACCAAGAGGCCACACGGCUUGAAUGUUCUUUUCUUCCAAAACAAGAGGGCCUCCCCAAGCAUGGAGCCACAUUGUCCAUGUCUGGGUCUGUCCAGCAUGCCUGUGUCUCUCUCAGAGCCUGAGGCACCAGCUUUUUGGCUGACUCUCCAUUCCCUCCUUGCAUCCCUAUGGGACACAAACUAUUUCUAUCCAUUCUCCGUGUCACCAUCACUGAGUUUCCCACUCUUGCCAGAUGCAAUGUCUCCACAUAGCUGGGGGCAGAGUCUGAGUCUGCGACCAGACAGAUGCUUUUUUGUCACAUGUGCAUUCUGGAUGCCAACGUGAGCACUUCUCCCUGCUGGCUGAUCACUUUUUAGGUCAGAUGGGUGGAGAGAGGAGUGAGGGGUAAAGGGACAGAGGGGGACCAACCGAGGGGAGAGGAAGGAAAGAAGCCUAGGCAGGAUGAGACUUGAAAUGUCUGACUUUUAAACCUGUUGUGACGGAAGGCUCCUUGAGAGAAUGGCAUAUGUCACGUGUAUGUCCUUGACAAUGGGUAGGAAAUCUGCAGCAUGAGAACAUCACUCCCAAAACUUUACGACAUUCUCGUAAAAGCUAAAGUCCAUUAAAGAUGGACUAAAUUAUCCUACAUUUUAGACAUCACGUCUGGCGUAGAGUCCUUCCAUUUUCAUACAUAAUCAUUAAUUUGGCUCUUCUCCUGCAAACCUGAACACGAGGUGGCGUGUCUCAGCCUCCAAUGGGCCCAGCUGAGGCCAGAGUUUACUUUCUGGAGAGGCUUAAUGUUCUCCAUCCUCGACUCAGUUGUACAAAGGCUACGAGACCAGUUCUACUUCCUGUAGCUGUCAGCCAUUACACCUGUCUCCACGGUUAUUCUCACCACAGACCAGGGUGAGGCCAUGGCUGUUGUCGGGGGUUCAGCAUCUCCACGUUCGGGGUUCAUUUCCUCAACCGAAGAGCAGCGGCACAUCAACCAGAAAAGGCCCGGCUGCUGCAAAGUCAAAUGUUGUGUAGUCAAGAGCCGUCUGUGGUGGGUGAAACAUUGGCCUUUGUCAACAAAGGAGGGAUUGAAUCGCAUCUGCUGGUUCUGAAACUCUUUCCACGGUUUCUGGGGUCCCGAAGACCAUGCCAUCUUUAAAGGUCAAUGCUAUAAAUAUCAUCAUCAUCAUGAGCUGAAGUCUGAUCACGGGAGGAAUUAGGAGUCAGAAUAAGCCUUAUUGUUAGCUAGGAGUGAAAUUUAUUUGCCCUGGAGGGGCCUGGCCAGUUUUAACACUUGGCAACUCUUCUGCCUGUCAGCUUCCCCAAAGCCACCCAAGCUGGGCUUCCGUCCCUUUCAGUGGAACAGAAUAAAGGUCAUGGAUUUUAGAGUUGGAGUCCUUGCCCAGUUCUGGGCUCCCAGUCUUCUGCAUGAUCUGGGGCACAUUCAUCACAACGUCUGAAAUUUUAUUUCACGUAGCAGGUGUGAAGAGUCCUGCUUACUUACUACUCUGACUCUUAAGAGUAGUUAUGAGGUUUAAAUGAAUAGAUGUAUAAAAUUGUCAGCACCAUCUGACACCUAACGAAUGCUUAGACUGGUAGUUCUCAACGGAGGGUGACUUUGCUGCCCAGCAGACAUUUGGCAAUUUCUAGGACAUUAAACCAACUGCAGGACUUGGGACAGUAGAUACUGUAGGCAUCUGGGGCCAGAUAGAGGUCAAGGAUGUAGCUAAAUAUCCUACAAUCCAUAGGACAUCACCCCUAUAAUAAGGGGCUAUUUGUCUUAAUACAUCAAUGGUGCUGAGGCUGAGAAACUCUGGCGAGAUAAAUAAUAGCCACUAUGUAUCAGGCAUUUUCCUAUACAUGUCUGAUCCCUUUCAACUGUGCGGGUUCCAAAAUGUGGAUGCUGAGUUAUAAGGCUGAUAACAAUGACAACAUCCACUCAUUGGCAGUGAGUUUUCUUAUUUAUUGUCUCAUUUGAUUUUAAAAAGCCUCUGCUUAUAAAUGUUAUUAAUGCAAUCUCAUUUUACAGGUGGAAAAACAGGCUCGGAGGCCAUGGGUCACUCAGCCGGUAAAGAGCGUGCCCAGGUUUAGGAUCCUGUUCUCCUGAUUUCAGCUUGUAUAUCAUCACAGGUAUGCUACAUGUUUAGAUAACAGGGCAGCUCAGCUUUGAAUACUUGGCAUCAUGCAUUCAUCUGUGAAAUGGAGCAAAUCAUGCUGACCCAUGGGGCGCAGUGACUGUAAGAAGGACGUGAAAUAAUGUACACAGCAGGCACUCAAAAGCCAGAGCUCUAUCAAUGUCCCCCUGAUUCCUCUUGAUGACUGGGAAACGCAAUCCUUUACCCCUGUUUGGAAGCCAAGAGACCCUCAAGGCUAACCCAGCCCUCCUUUGCUGUGUUGGGUGCCCCUGCGUAAGCCUGUGAGCGAGCCUCAGGCUUCGCUAAGCCCCACCAUCCACAGAUGCUUCAUUCAAUGAGUGACGUCGCCUGUCAGGCACCACCCUGUGCUGGUCACUGAGGCUUUGCAGGAGCCUCCACAGUCCUUCUGGCACCCGGUACCUGGGGGCUGACAUCUUGGCAACUGUGCCACUGCUCUCUCAUUACCUAUCGGGAGGGUCACCCUCCUGACAUCUUUGAAAAUUCUUUAUUAAACAUUUUUUUUAGUAAAAAUACAGAUUACGUUAUAGUUCUGACAUGCUCAACUUAUUAUAACAUCAAACAAUAUGCUUGCUUCUUUUGCUUGGGGAUGUUUACCUGCUGACUUUGGCUCACAUGUCAUGAUGUAUUAGUUACCUUGUCAGAUCUUCCAUAACCUUUAUUCAUUCAUUCAUUCAUUCAUUCAUUCACUCAUCGAUGCAUUUGAAUAUCUACUGUGAACCUAGCACUCUGCUAGGCAUUUAUUGGAUUAGAAAAUGUAUUUACAUACUGUCUUUGAUCUUUAGGACUCACAGUGUAGUAGGCAAUGCAAGAGUAUAAAGAAAGAAGAUGCAUUUUUAAAGCGGUAAGUGAAAUGAAAGAAGUAUGGGUUGUACCUGGGAACUGAAGCUCUGGCGGGAUGGAAUUCAGACUUGGCAGUGAAUCUGCAAAGUGGCUUUCCUGGGUCACUCUGGACAGGGAUAGGUAGGGGAGCAGCAGAGGCUGGAGACUGGAUUUUGUUGGAUUGUGCUGCAAUCGGUGUGCAAGGGAAGGAAGAGGACUGAGCAUCCACACUGAAAUAAGCUGAUGAUACCUUGACCUAGAAGAAGACCCAGAUGCCCAUUUUUUGGGCUGUGAGUGAAUGUUAAGCUCCUGACCUAUACUUGAUGAAUGAUAUCUCAAAGGCAUCACUGAGUAUCUGAAUAUUCGCAGGAAGCUGUAGAAAGGGAUUUACUCAUGCUGCUAGGGUUAGGAAUGGGUGCAGUGCCCCAGAAGAUGUGACAUUUAAGUAGGGCAUAAAAAAUUUAGAGAUGCUUCCCACUUGGGGGAGGAGUGAGGAGCUUUGGGGCAGAGCAAGGGUAAAGAUAACCUUCAGAGAAGGAUGACGAUGUGGCUGGAGCAAAGCCCGGGGCGGGGGUGGGGGAGGUGGAGGAGGGGUGAAGUUUGAGGACCCUUUGGGGCCAUGUGAAGUGGGCCAGGGGAUUUGGACCUUUGUGGUAGGACUUGUUGGGUAGUGGCUGAUUUACCCAGAGAGGCGGUCUUGUUGGAUGUGCACAGUGGAUGCGUCUCUGGGAGAAGAACAGGACUGUGGAAGGCAGGACCGGAAGCUCAGAGACAGGAGGCAAAGGGACAGGUUGGGUUGGCUGCACCCCUCCAGAGAGAGAGUGUGAGCCCUCCCUCGGGUUUCAUCUGAUGGAACGGCUGGCUCUCCUGCCCAUGCUGGUCACCCGUGCUUCCCCUCAGAUGCCCCAGCACGUAUUCAAAGAUAAAAUCAGGAAAUGGCCAAGAAUGAAUGAGUUCCAUUUAAAAAAUGUAAGAGAUAAAACUAAGAUGUGUUAGGUAGUUCCCACUGUGGUGCAGUGUGUUAAGAAUCUUACUGUAGUGGCUUGGAUCACUGUAGAGGUGUGGGUUUGAUUCCUAGCCUGGCACAGUGGGUUACAGAUCCUGUGUUGCUACAGCUAUAGCACAGGUCACAGCUUUGGCUUGGAUUCAAACCCUGGCCCAGGAACUUCCAUAUGCUGUGGGUGCAGCCACUAAAAAACAAAAAAGCAAAGAAACCCCAAACAAUGAAACUAAGAAGUGUUAAAUUCUCCAGCACCUAGUGGAAUAUGAAGUACACAGACUUGAUGGAAUAAAUGCAGAAAGACCUCAGAAACAAGGAUGCGUAAGAUGAGGGUGAGUGUGUAGUCAGAAAGCCCUGAAGAAAUAGUGUUAGCUUUCUUCCGUGCUAAUGUUGCUCUCAUCCCUAAGUGGGUAUGAGACAAGUCAUCCUCUCAGUAGGAAGCACAACUCCCAUUUGUGGAGCUGCCCUUAUGGUUCAGUGUGCGUGAUGCUCAGGGUACCACAAACAUCAUCUUACUUCAUCUUAAUAACAACUAUAAAGCAGGCUUUAUUAGGCCUGAGGUUCAGACAGUUCAGGAAUUUGCCCAAGGUCACAGUGCAGUAAGUAUGCAUUUCCAUACUUGGAUUCAACCUCCAGCCUGUCCAGCUCUAAAGCCUUUGGCAUUAGUGAGUUCACUACUGAGAACAGCAGAUCCAUCACUGUGGUAUCAGCAAUACUGCAAGUUGUUAAUAUCACUUGCCUUUCUGCACAGUAAAAGACCCUGUUUCAGAGUCUUUAAAAACUGAUGUGGACAGAAAAAUCAGACUUGGGGUAAAGAAGGAAAUGGUGGGAAGAUAAAAACAGAGAAUUAAAUAUCUAUUUCCAACUUUUGUUUUUGGCUUGUGUAAGCUCAUUAUCCCCUUUGGAUCUGAGACUUCUUUUCAAUAAAAUGAAGUAAAUCAACUAAGCCAUAUGCAAGAUAUAGCCUGACUUGAC
rnacentral:lncRNA from 1 species